CUGGUCGCUAGAGAAGGUCAAGCAAAGAGCAUGCAAAGAAAGGAGACAGGAAAAUGCCCCAUGUGAGAAGGGGCAAAACCAAAGCAGAAGUUGACUCCAGAGAGACCUAGGAGGUGUUUUCAGCAUUUAUAGACUCAGGGAGCAGCGAGGAUUCUUCCAGCAGAGGCAACAGAAAAUCCCGCCAAAAACUGGUGAAGUCGAUGGUGCAAUGUGUUACUUCACACCAGGCGUUUGCAGGUGUUCGUGAAGAGGGUGGAGGAGCGCCUGGAAGACUAAGGAGGCAGAGAGAGUCCAGACAGCGGACCCAAGCUGGCCAGAGCCCCAAAGCUGUGGUCGGGAGCCUCGAGUUCCAGGCAGUCACCUGGAUGUGUGUGGUGGAGGGUCAUCUGUCAGGCUGCAGACCUGGACUCCCACGCUAAGCCCGAGGCAUCAGGCAGGGGCCGCAUGAAGAUGGAUUUUGGAACGUUUUCAGAUGAGCAGAUAAUAGGUGCUGUAUAAAUGUGCCAAGGUACUGCGGUUUGCCUUCUUAAGA